UACAGAGGUCUCAAGCGUUGUUCGGAUUCAUUGGGCGUAAAGGGUGCGUAGGCGGCGCGGUAAGUCGGGUGUGAAAUUUCGAGGCUUAACUUCGAAACUGCAUUCGAUACUGCCGUGCUUGAGGACUGGAGAGGAGACUGGAAUUUACGGGUGUAGCGGUGAAAUGCGUAGAUAUCGUAAGGAAGACCAGUGGCGAAGGCGGGUCUCUGGACAGUUCCUGACGCUGAGGCACGGAAGGUCAGGGGGAGCAAAACGGG
rnacentral:rRNA from 1 species